rnacentral:rRNA from 1 species
AGACAGCAGCAGCCGCGGUAACACGAAGGGGGCUAGCGUUGUUCGGAAUCACUGGGCAUAAAGCGCACGUAGGCGGAUUUUUAAGUCAGGGGUGAGAUCCCGAGGCUCAACCUCGGAACUGCCUUUGAUACUGGAGAUCUUGAGUUCGGAAGAGGUUGGUGGAACAGCUAGUGUAGAGGUGAAAUUCGUAGAUAUUAGCUAGAACACCAGUGGCGAAGGCGGCCAACUGGUCCGACACUGACGCUGAGGUGCGAAAGCGUGGGGAGCAAACAGGAUUAGAUACCCCAGUAGUCCCUGUCUCUUAUAC